AUCUAUUUAAUAAUAUUUUUUUAUUUAUUGCAUUCAAAAUGUGGGAUUGUGUUAUAAAUUACACUUGACUGUCAUAUGUUGUAUGAGAUGAGGACUGAAUGUUGUCAGUCUGAGUAGGAGGAGUUUAGCGCAUGCCUUGUGAGAUACAAUAAGACUGUCAACAUUUCACAAGACUUUGGAUCAUCUGAUGUUUCUGUGUGUCUCCUGUUCAAACCUGAUUAUCGUGCUAACAUGUUGAUCUAUUUAAUAUUACUAUCAUCAGUUGAAGGUUCUGGAGCGGCAAAGGUCAUCACACCAUACAGUUCUUAUCAGUUUGCUGUUGAGGGUGACAGUGUGACACUCUCUUGUAACUACACUGGUUCUGUUCGAGGUCUUCACUGGUAUCGUCAAUACAAAGGUUCACUACCAAAGUUCCUCAUACUGGAUUAUUAUGGGAAAGUUACUGAAGCUGUUCCUCCAGUUGCUGGAGUCUCAAUCCAUCACAGAAAAAACAGCAGUAGUGUGGAUCUGAAGAUCUCCUCUGCUGCUGUCACUGACUCCGCUCUCUACUACUGUGCUUUGGAGCCCACAGUGAAAGGAAAUCCACUGCAUGCUGUACAAAAACCUCUUUAA